rnacentral:rRNA from 1 species
UACUAGAAUAUUAAAAGUUAUGGCCUUUAAAUUUAAAAAAUUUGGCGGUGUUUUAGUCUAGUUAGAGGAACCUGUUUUAUAAACGAUACAACACGCAUUAUUUUACUUAUUUUAGUGGAGCAGUUUGUAUACCGUCAUUAUAAGAUAAUUUAGGAGAAAAUAUUAUUGAAAUCAUAUUUGUGAGUAUAUUAGAUCAAGGUGCAGCUUAUGGAUAAGUAAAUAUGGGUUACAAUAAAAUUAAUUUAAUAUGAAUUAAGUAUUUAAAUAUAUUUAUGAAGGAGGAUUUAAUUGUAAGGGAAGGAGUAGUGAGAUUUUCUGAUAAAAGCUCUAAAUUAUGUACAUAUCGCCCGUCGCCC